rnacentral:misc_RNA from 1 species
GGCGUGGGAGAAUGGCUGUGUGAACGAGAAGACUAGUUAUUCUAGAGGGACCCUCUUGGAAGGAGGACGAACGCACGCUGCUUGUGUGUUUUGGGGCCCAACUUUCACUUUCGCUACCCUUUUUGUAUUCUUGUCAUUUUUUUUCUCCUGCGGGGUUGCCACUUUCUUGAUGUGUAAACAUUGCACGAGUAAGGGCCGCCUUCGUAUUUCAUCCUGGCAAGCCUCUGGGGCCCCCUGAUUUGCCAUUCCAUGUUUCUUCUCAGGCAUUCUCACAAUGUCAGCACUGUGCUCAGGCAUUCCAAUGGGCUAGUUUCCUUUUUUAAUGCGUAUUGUAAUUUGAUUGGUGAAGAACAUUUAUGUUUGUCUGCUUAUUUGCCUCAAAUCUCAUGGGGUUUUCUAGAUGAUGACACUCUGGAUUUGGAUGGUUCGAUGUAAUUUAAAUUUGCAUGGUGUUAUUUGUUGUCUUUAUGCCUAUGUACAUACGUAGCAUGCACAUAUUGAUGAUAUGGAGACAGCGAUGUGAGAAAGAGGGUGCGAUUCCCUUUUCUCCAUAAAAUGGCGCAAAAAACUUUCAAGCCCCUCUGGAAUUGAUGUUCUUUUGUUAGGGGACCACGGCGUUGCAUUAUUUGGGAGAGGAAGAUCAGCCCGUGUGAUUUUUUGGGUGCACUGGCUUUCCUGUUAACUCUACUUCAAAAGGGAAAUCUGGGAAAAGAAACUUGCAUUAAGGGCAUGGCGUGUUUAUGUCUCUUUCGCCGUCUUUUAGAUAAUGACCUUAGGUUAUGUUUGGUAGGUUGUAAUGCAACCUAUUCUAAAUAAAGAAAGAAAGGGAAAAUAUAUUCCACUCUUGAAGAUAAGAUGUGAUGUUAGGUUGCGAAAUAUUCUAUGAAAAUGUUAGGUUUUCUCCCUCUUGGCAUAAGAACAAGAAUUGCUUUCCUUAAUGU